rnacentral:lncRNA from 1 species
CGUACGACCCCCUGGAAGAGUGAGCCGGCAGUAGCGACCUAAAUCCGCUUCUUCUCACUGCUAAUGUUCAGUGCUCACCAUUUUUCCUUCUUUCUGUGUCUCUCUGUGUGUGCGCGCGUUUGUUUGGGUUCACGUGCAAGCCCAUGGACGCCGAGGACUGUGAGGACUACACCGACGUCUUCUUCAUCAAGUUCGCGCAGGUCAACGACGCGAGGUGACCAAUGCACGCAUAUAUCCAUCUACCUUGUUCGUUGCUGUGAAUGCGGUUGAGUGGUUUUCUACACCAGUUCCUUAUGUUGCAUGUGAAUAUGGUGAGUAGAUAGAACUGGAGUGAGCAGAUCAGUAUAUGACUAAGAAAAAUGAGAGAGUACUUGUAGAAAAUUAUCAUAGCUCUAAACCACUUUGCAAAAAUAACAUGUAUUACUAGCAAUUGUGCCUAGCAUUGCCUGUUUGAGAACUUGUUGUCGGUAACUUGGUACUGCUUUCAGUGAUAUUUGUUGUUUGUUGAUAGUUAUACUUUUUUUGUUUGUAUUGAUCGAUGCAUAUCUUUGUAGUUAGCAUACAAAAUUCUCCUGCUAUAGUUCUCUUUGGUCGCACAAGCACUUAGAGUUAUAGCUGAUGGAACUUGCACAUUAUUGUCUUUAUAAAUUCAGUUUAGUGCUAAUUUCUUUUUGUACGGACCAUCAAAAAUUAUGUUUACUUGCAAUUUCUUUUGUAUUGUAUUGACGAGUUAUGUUUAUAGGUAAUUUCUAAAUUAAAAGAUUAACUAUCUGCACCUCUAAUUCAGUCAAAUGGUUUCUGUUUGUUUGUUUUUUCUUCAGUAGUAGCGUACGGGCACCUUUAAUUAGGGCGAAUUCUAUUCUCCUGCUCGCUUUGUCCCUUUCGUGCCAGCUCUAGAUGACUGACUGAAUUUUAGACUUAAGUACUAGUGAGUCUCGCCGAAGCAGAUCGUUGUUUUUAUGUGUCGUCUGUGGAUUAUACACACUGCUUGCCUAUUAUGUUUUGUUUCUCUUGUGAUUGCAAAAUUUUCAUCAGGAACAGCUACACACUUCCCUGGCCUGCUGUGCUGCGCCUGCGGCUCAACCCCCCAUUUGCAGCAGCAAUAGCAGCAGCAGCUAGGUACAACAGUAGUAGGCAGGCGGACGGCAGCGGCAUGCGUUGCCGGCACCCAUUGUGCACGUAGGCAGGCAGCAUCCAUCACAUUAUGUUUCAUUUGCACCUUAUAUACAACAGCCUACCAACGUACGAAUUCCUUUUUCAUUCUUCGAUGCAGGCAGUCCGGCCAACAAAAAAUGGCCUUGCAAGCAUCCAGGUGUGUUGUGUUCUGUGCGUGUGUAUAGAUCUUUUAUUUAUUUUGUUGACUGUUGCAACACUUGGAUUAUUUAUUAAUAUAACCCAGCAGCGACGCUUCCAUUUUAACACAUCCACUAGUGUGCUAAAACUUGCAAAAAACACAAAUCCGGAGCUUUGUUUGUCGGCUAGCCGUUGCUGCUCCUUGUGUACAAUGAUUGGUGUUGCUCUAGUUAGUGUUGUAGAGGAAGAAAGAGGAUAUAUUUAUAUUACUUGCUUGUGCUGCUUAUAUAUAGACAUGUAUGUAUGUUUACUUACUUCAUUUCUUCCUUGUCUCUCCAAGCCCCUCCUAAUGAAUUUGUUUGUUCGAUUUGGAUUAGCAGGCUCGCCCCUAGACCAGAUGUUCAACUGCAGCCCCAUCCAUCGCAUCGACCCGAAGUCAGGUAUGUACUCGUCCUAUUGAACAAAUAUGGGACAGAUGCUUCGUGGCCUAAUGCGUGAUGCAUGUAUCAUGUUUGUUCAUUGGAAAAUAUGUAAAUCAUGGAUGGCCUGAUGCUUCAUGGUGUCAUGUAUGUUCAUUCAGAUGUAUUAAUUAAUUUUGUACAUGUUGGAGAAUUUGGACGACGAUAACAAACUGUAAUCAUGAAUACUUGAAUAGAAACUUGAACAACCGUCUUGUUUAGUUUUGGUGAUGUUCCUCCAUUCUAAGAGCUAAUCUGCUGCACCAUUAUUUAGUUUUCAUCAUCGGUUUUAAUUUUGCUGAAAUUAUAUUUCCUUUUGUAUGCUUAUAGUCUAUUAGUUCUCAUUCUAGCUCUAAAUGUUGUUUGGAUGCAAACCUGGGUGUAUACUUUUUGCUUGUCGUCAUAACCAUCAGUUGGGCUGUCUACUUAAUGUAUUUGUUGUCCGAUUUGCUCCAUCAUAUUUCCUGACGUACUUCUACAUAUAUAUGUUGGUUGUAAUCUGCUGGAACAAUACAAGUACUUGAUAUUCCAUUCUGUUCUUGUAGGUGAAUGGAACGUCCGUUGUUGGUAGAACGUCGUUGAUGACUUCUUUCCAUGUCGAAGAGCAUGUUCCAUGGUAUCCAAGAGUAGCCAGCUUUUACACUUGCAGAGCGUUUUAUUUGUAGAUUGCAAUAUUUGUGAUUGUGUGAAAUAUUGUUUGGUUAUCCGGGUGAAGUUUGAAGUUCCUGGGUAUGCAAGAUUUGAUGGUUAAACUGGCUAUUGUAAUGUGAAUGAGUGUAUGUAGUUUCUUUUUUUUCUGUUCUGACUAGAAUAUUUUAAUAAACUAGAAUGUGAAUGAGGC